rnacentral:rRNA from 1 species
CGGGUGGUAAUGCCGGAUGCUCCAGUUGACCGCAUGGUCCUCUGGGAAAGCUUUUGCGGUAUGGGAUGGGGUCGCGUCCUAUCAGCUUGAUGGCGGGGUAACGGCCCACCAUGGCUUCGACGGGUAGCCGGCCUGAGAGGGCGACCGGCCACAUUGGGACUGAGAUACGGCCCAGACUCCUACGGGAGGCAGCAGUGGGGAAUAUUGCACAAUGGGCGCAAGCCUGAUGCAGCGACGCCGCGUGCGGGAUGACGGCCUUCGGGUUGUAAACCGCUUUUGACUGGGAGCAAGCCCUUCGGGGUGAGUGUACCUUUCGAAUAAGCACCGGCUAACUACGUGCCAGCAGCCGCGGUAAUACGUAGGGUGCAAGCGUUAUCCGGAAUUAUUGGGCGUAAAGGGCUCGUAGGCGGUUCGUCGCGUCCGGUGUGAAAGUCCAUCGCUUAACGGUGGAUCCGCGCCGGGUACGGGCGGGCUUGAGUGCGGUAGGGGAGACUGGAAUUCCCGGUGUAACGGUGGAAUGUGUAGAUAUCGGAAAAAAAAC